GAUGAAGAACGUAGCGAAAUGCGAUAAGUAAUGUGAAUUGCAGAAUUCAGUGAACCAUCGAAUCUUUGAACGCACAUUGCGCCCGGCAGUAAUCUGCCGGGCAUGCCUGUCCGAGCGUCAUUUCUACCCUCGAGCGAUUCCAGCAUCUAGGUGCUGGGCCUCGCCCGGCGUUGGAGCACUACGGGAAGCCCUGUGCUGUCCCCCGUAGGCCCCGAAAUGAAGUGGCGGUCCUGCCGCGGCGCCCCCUGCGUAGUAUAACAGCUCGCUUCGGGACCCGGUGGAGGCCUGCCGUCAAACCUAUACUCUCUAAGUUUGACCUCGGAUCAGGUAGGGUUACCCGCUGAACUUAAGCAUAUCAAUAAGCGGAGGA
rnacentral:misc_RNA from 1 species